rnacentral:rRNA from 1 species
CAGUCGCCACGGUAAUACAGAGGGUGCGAGCGUUAAUCGGAUUUACUGGGCGUAAAGCGUGCGUAGGCGGCUUCUUAAGUCGGAUGUGAAAUCCCUGAGCUUAACUUAGGAAUUGCAUUCGAUACUGGGAAGCUAGAGUAUGGGAGAGGAUGGUAGAAUUCCAGGUGUAGCGGUGAAAUGCGUAGAGAUCUGGAGGAAUACCGAUGGCGAAGUCAGCCAUCUGGCCUAAUACUGACGCUGAGGUACGAAAGCAUGGGGAGCAAACAUGAUUAGAUACCCCCGUAGUCCCUGUCUCUUAUAA